UAUUACACAUUCCUAUUACCGGUAUACAUAUUUUUAUCCACGCCAUUUUAUCUAGAACAAAUUAAAAGUUUUGAAUAUUUUCAAAAUAAAAAUAAAAGAAAUUAGUUCAACAAGGCGAUUUUGUGUGCAAAAAUAAUAGUUUUAUAAUAUUUAUCAUGUCCGAUUAUCGAUCAUCAUCACGGGAUGGCCAUCGAGAUGGUGGACGUGGCGGUAGCGGACGAGAUUAUUCGAGUGAUGAUGAUCCGCCCAUGUCGCGUCUUUUCAUAAUUUGCAAUAAAGCACAUACUGAAGAAGAUUUUCGUGACGCAUUUUCUCCUUAUGGCGAGAUUGAAGAUAUCUGGGUUGUAAAGGAUAAAAAUUCUGGUGAAAACAAAGGAAUUGCUUAUGUAAAAUUCGCCAAAACAUCGGAUGCCGCUAAGGCACAAGAGGAGAUGAAUGGCAAAACCAUUGGUAAAAUGGAUCGCACCUUGAAGGUGUUGGUGGCAGCAAAUCGAAACCAAGGUUCAAACAAGUCUGAAAAUGAACAGGAAAAAUAUGUGCGUUUAUUCAUUGUUAUAUCGAAAUCAGCAACAGAAGAGGAAAUUAGAAGCGAAUUUUCACAAUGGGGAGAUGUGGAAAAUGUAACGAUAGUCAAAGACAAAUCGUCAGGAUCUCCAAAGGGAUUUGGUUAUGUGCGAUUUACAAAGUUUUAUCAUGCUGCAGUAGCCUUUGAGAACUGUCCCACCAAAUAUAAAGCAGUUUUCGCUGAACCAAAAGGUUCAACACGAUCACAAAGAGAUCAGUACGGUCGACCAGCGGAUGAUAACCCAAUUGUUAGUUCCGGACGUAGCGGUGGUGGUGGCAGUGGAGGUAGCGGCUCUUAUAACAAUGGCAACUACAACAAUGACUGGAAUUGUUCUUUCAAUAGCGAUAUGGCUGCAUUCCUGCGCAUGCAGAAUGUACCAGUACCACAACCAACAUGUUUAGAAGUGAUUGCCAGCAAUUCCGUUAACCAGGAUCAGUUAUGGCGAUUAUUUGAUAUUAUACCUGGCUUGGAUUAUUGUCAAAUAACCAGAGAAUAUGGUCCGAGAACUAAUGAGGCAGUAGUCGUUUAUGAUAAUCCUGAGGCAGCUAUUUAUGCAAAAGACAAAUUGCAUGGAUUGGAAUAUCCAAUGGGAGAGCGUAUUAUAGUCAAAGUGGCUGGAAUGAGUUCAGCUAGAAUGGACACAUCUUUUAUAGAUAAGCGUACUAAAAAGGAUUCAAUAUGCAAUGUCCCAUUGCCUCCUGCCCAGCCGAUGGUAUCGCCCGAUGCAACAGUAGCACAGCGGUUGUUUAUUGUUUUAGCAGCGAAUCUGCCGCAAUCCAUAUUGAAAAAAGUGUUUUCUUGUUGGAAGGGUUUAAUUGAUGUGUACUUGCUACCGAAUAAAAAUUGCGGCUACGUUAAAUACGCAGACAGAGAUAGUGCUCAAAAAGCCAUUCAAAUUCUGAAUGGUGCGGAAAUUUGUGGCACAAAAAUUAAGGUAAUGGAAGCCGAAGAGCGAGGUAAUAGCGAUGGCGAUGAUAAUGGCAGGAAACGCUUGCGAAGAAACUAAAUGUAAGAAAAUCUUUGAAACUCAAUUUUGUUUUAUUUUAUUUUUCUUUGCAAAACCAAAAAAAAAAAAAAUCCAACAAAUGACAGUAACUGUCAAAUUUGUAAGGGACAUAAAACAUAAAGCAAACCAAAUUAAAACCAUAACAGUAACGUUCCAUUACUUAAUAAAACAAGAUAUAAAAAUAUGAAACUAACUGACUGCAGAAAACAUUUACGGAAACUAAACGCAAACGGAGUUAAAACGGAAACUGGUAGAUACAAUAAGAACGAAGAUAACACAGAAUGGUGGUGUAAGCAUAUAUACAUAAGAAUAUGUAAAAUGCUUUGGCAAUGAGCAAAACCACCAAACAAAACGACUUAGACCUUCACAAUCACUAUGUCACAGUCAUAGUCACCACAAUAUGAAUAAUGCCACAGAAUGCCACUAUGUAGACAAUGACCAAUUUGAGACCAAGUACCCAAAAAGAACUAAAACGGAGUCAAACCGCUAAUUAAGCGCAACGGACACUGCAAUGCGCUACAGUACAGAAAAAAAAUUGAUAUUACAAGUGUUAAUUUGAGCAGAGCUUUUACAAUAAAUAAAUAAAUAAACGAAAUUAGCGAAAAAUUAAACGUAACCUAAACUAGAACGAGAACGUGAACGCGAACCUGAACUAAAACCAUCUGGACAAAAAUAAUGUACGUCACGUCAAUGAAGCAAGACCCGAAUUAACCAUACCACAGUAAACUUUAAUACUCGAGCGUCCCUUUCAAUUUACAUACCUAAAAUUAGAAACUUAACACUAAACAUCUAUCCAUACUUGUACAUGCCUGUAAAGACUUUUACUCAUUAUUUAAUCGUUUAUAUAUUUGACAGUUUGCAGAGGAAAAUUACACACAUUUUUCUCGUUGCAUCAAGCUGUUUAUAUGCAAAAAUUUUCUGCAACAGUAUAGCUAACAAGUUUGGCAAUUCACAAAUAUGUAUAUAUACAAAAAUAAAUAUAUAUAUAUAUAUAUACAUACAUACUACAUAUUUUAAACGCAGAUAAUUAUAAAUAUAUUAAACAAUAUUAUAUAUAUAAUUUUUCUCAAAUAAAAGUUGUUUUAUUUCGAAUUUCACAAAUGCCGGUAAGUAAAAUUUGUUAUUUAUUAGCACGCGACACAACAUUUAUCAUGUUUGUAUGUCAAUUUUUGCUUAUUUAAAAAUCUCUAACUAUGCCGUUUUAAUAUUGAUGUGAUGCUAAAACGCUGUCAGUUUUUUUGCAGAGCCAAAAAUAAAUAAAAAAUUGUGGGCGAACUAAACUAUCUAAAAAUUUAAGCCUACGAAAUCUAAUAGCGGCAAUGUCUAAAGUACAUAAUUUCAAACUUUCUCCCAUAAAAAAUAAGACUUGGUAUGGCGUUCGGCUUAUCUAUUUCAGUUACUCUACAUAGUUUAUUCAUAUUUUCGUAUGUGCGUCUUACAAAUAAUCAUAUCCUAUUUGAAUGAAAAAUAUAGUUGUUUUAAAUUAUUUAUUCAUUUGUUCAUAUUAAUUUAUAUAAUUGCAAAUUUAAUAAUAAUAGUCUUCUUCCUUAGUUUUGUAAUGAGUGCAUUAGCGUAGAUGCCGGAGAAUUCGUUUCUCCCUUCGCCAAACGGGUUUCCAUAUUAAUAUUAAACUAUUAGCAUUACUUUGACUACAUUCAUUGUUAGGUUUGCUGUUAUACACUGAUUUUAACAUUUUUAUUAAUAAUAAUUUCAAUCAACUAAAAAACAUACUUCGUUGAAAAUGUAAUUAUGUUACUCGGAAGUGGAGUGAAUUUGGUCAAUCUAUGAUGUAUUGGCAAUGAAAUAAGGGAAACGGAUUGUUACGAUUCACAUUUUUGUAGAUAACUAUUGUAUUUAAAUUAUUUUCAGUGUGCUUAAUUGCUUUUCGCUAAAAAUCAACACAAUCAUUUUCGAUUGAUUUUAGCACAUUUGUGGUUGUUGUUAUUAUACAAAGUUAGUGCGGAUUUAAAAAAAACUCUUGCACUUAACAAGCACACAUUGCUCUUAUAGUUCGUAUUAUUGUUUCUGGUGAUCUAUGAAUUGAGAAUUCCUCUAAUUGGUUACUGCUUUGACUUUCUGUUGAUUGUUUGCUGACUUGGUUGGAUAAUUCAAAAUAUUGAUAUUUGCUGCUUAGUUUAAAAGCCGUGCACUUUUAGUUGAUCUGGUUUCG